rnacentral:rRNA from 1 species
UCCGCCUGUUUAUCAAAAACAUGGCUUUCUGAAAAGCAUAGGGAGUCGUGCCUUCCAGUGGGCAUACGAGCCUAAACGGACGCGGUAAAUCGUGCUAAGGUAGCUAAGUUAUGGCCUAUUAAUUGUAGGUCUUGUGAAUGGUUUGACGAGCCUCCAACUGUCCUCUAGGUUGUUUUGGUGAACUUGAGUUGAAUGUGUAAAUGCCUUCGUGGGUAAGAAAGACGAGAAGACCCCGUGAAGUUAAAAAUUUUAGCGUAUGGAGUGUUAUUCCCUGUUGGUGAAGGCUAGAGGGUUAAGGGAUUUGGUUGGUUUCUAAGUGAGGGGGUGUAGUGAAUGGUUUUUGCUGGGGCAGCAAAAGGGCAAAUUUAGACCUUAAUUGUAUUUAAAACGGGUGCGUUACGACCCAUAAUUAAAAAGGUGUGAUUAGCAGAAGGAGUUACUCCGGGGAUAACAGCGUUAUUCGUCCUGAGAGUUCUUAUUGGUGGACGGGUUUGCGACCUCGAUGUUGGCUCUGGAUAUCCUGGGGCUGCAGGCGUCCCAAGGGUUGGUUC